UGGGGAAUUUUGGACAAUUGGGCGAAAGCCUGAUCCAGCAAUGCCGCGUGUGUGAAGAAGGCCUUCGGGUUGUAAAGCACUUUUGUCCGGAAAGAAAUCCUUGGCUCUAAUACAGUCGGGGGAUACGGUACCGGAAGAAUAAGCACCGGCUAACUACGUGCCAGCAGCCGCGGUAAUACGUAGGGUGCAAGCGUUAAUCGGAAUUACUGGGCGUAAAGCGUGCGCAGGCGGUUUGCUAAGACCGAUGUGAAAUCCCCGGGCUCAACCUGGGAACUGCAUUGGUGACUGGCAGGCUAGAGUAUGGCAGAGGGGGGUAGAAUUCCACGUGUAGCAGUGAAAUGCGUAGAGAUGUGGAGGAAUACCGAUGGCGAAGGCAGCCCCCUGGGCCAAUACUGACGCUCAUGCACGAAAGCGUGGGGAGCAAACAGGAUUAGAUACCCUGGUAGUCCACGCCCUAAA
rnacentral:rRNA from 1 species